CUGGGGGCUAAGAUUUCAACAGGCAGAUUUGGGGGAACACAAACAUUCGGACCAUAGCAGUGAGGGCCCCAAACCGGAGGGUCCUCGAUGAGUGCUCUGGGUUGUACGAGACCCUCAGUACCUUUACAGGAUCCUGGGGAGACAGUUGUGGAGACGUAGUUUCCGUUAAACUGAGCCUGAAUUUCUGUCCUUUGUGGUAAGUGGGGUGGGACUCAGAGCUGAGUUAGUUUAAUUUAGUGAAACAAACGACUGUGACAUGUUACACACCAAGUUGUGGAAUUUGUGCUUGCAAGCCCACAGCCUGGACUAAAAAGAGGAGAGACAAAUAUUAAAAACUUCAGUCAACACUGUAGGAAUUAAAUAAUGAUACAAGAGAAGACGCAAAGCUGCCUGUAAUCGAUUACAAAGUGAGGAAGCACUGGAAGUGGAGGACGGGCUCGUUGCUCAGUUGGUGGUGGCUGAGGCCUCCUGGAGCUGCCAGUCCUCUGCACGCACGCCUGGGCUGUUCCUCUGACUGGAUCUCAGCCCGUCCGUUCAAACCCGUCCUCCAGGUCUCACUUUAAAUGCCCAACCUCUCACUAGUGCCCAGACGGCCGACUGGGCUGGCUCCCUUUUUAUUCUCUCCUCAGCACUCUCUCUGCUGAGGCGCACCCCAGUCAUAAUCAAUGCAUGGAUUCCUAGCUGGACUGUCACUCAGGGAUCGGGGUGGUGUCUGUCUCAUUCACUGUGAUACCCCUAGUUCCCAGCACGGUGCUCAGAGUCCAGUCUUCCCUCCAAAAUUGUAGGUGCAGAGUGACUUUGUAGUGAGAGAAUGUUUUGAAUCAUCACCCAGUGGAUUUUCUUUCCUGGCAACCCCUCCCUCUCUCCGCCAGAAGCCCUUCACCACGAAAAACGGGGAUGAGCCGAGGCUUGUCCUGCCGUGGAAGGAGAAACCCAUCAAAACCAGGAGCAAAAUCCUGAGCAGACACGAAUCUUCCUGUGGCGAUGGGUAUGUUUACUACCUUGAUUGUGGCGAUGGUUUCCCUGGAUCUCUACAUAAGCCCAAACUUACCAAAUGGUGUGCUUGACACGUGUGCGGUGGAUUGUAGUCAGUUAUCUUUCAAUCAGGCUGUUAAGAAACAAAGCGUGGUUUUUGAACUAGUUCCCAGGUGGCUCUGCGAAUGUUUAAAUCAGAGGAGGUACAAGUAAUGAUGCCGAG
rnacentral:lncRNA from 1 species